rnacentral:rRNA from 1 species
AGUGAACGCUGGCGGUAGGCCUAACACAUGCAAGUCGAACGGCAGCACAGUAAGAGCUUGCUCUUACGGGUGGCGAGUGGCGGACGGGUGAGGAAUACAUCGGAAUCUACUUUUUCGUGGGGGAUAACGUAGGGAAACUUACGCUAAUACCGCAUACGACCUACGGGUGAAAGCAGGGGAUCUUCGGACCUUGCGCGAUUGAAUGAGCCGAUGUCGGAUUAGCUAGUUGGCGGGGUAAAGGCCCACCAAGGCGACCAUCCGUAGCUGGUCUGAGAGGAUGAUCAGCCACACUGGAACUGAGACACGGUCCAGACUCCUACGGGAGGCAGCAGUGGGGAAUAUUGGACAAUGGGCGCAAGCCUGAUCCAGCCAUACCGCGUGGGUGAAGAAGGCCUUCGGGUUGUAAAGCUCUUUUGUUGGGAAAGAAAAGCAGCAGGUUAAUACCCCGCUGUUCUGACGGUACCCAAAGAAUAAGCACCGGCUAACUUCGUG